rnacentral:rRNA from 1 species
AACGAACGCUGGCGGCAUGCCUAACACAUGCAAGUCGAACGAGACCUUCGGGUCUAGUGGCGCACGGGUGCGUAACGCGUGGGAACCUGCCUUUAGGUUCGGAAUAACUCAGAGAAAUUUGAGCUAAUACCGGAUAAUGUCUUCGGACCAAAGAUUUAUCGCCUUUAGAUGGGCCCGCGUUGGAUUAGCUAGUUGGUGGGGUAAAGGCCUACCAAGGCGACGAUCCAUAGCUGGUCUGAGAGGAUGAUCAGCCACACUGGGACUGAGACACGGCCCAAACUCCUACGGGAGGCAGCAGUGGGGAAUAUUGGACAAUGGGCGAAAGCCUGAUCCAGCAAUGCCGCGUGAGUGAUGAAGGCCUUAGGGUUGUAAAGCUCUUUACCCGAGAUGAUAAUGACAGUAUCGGGAGAAUAAGACUCCGGCUAACUCCGUGCCAGCAGCCGCGGUAAUGUGACUACUG